CCCUUAGAUGUCCUGGGCUGCACGCGCGCUACACUGAAGGAAUCAGCGUGCUAAAACCAUUGUCGAAAGGCAUUGGUAAACCCAUUAAAAUCCUACGUGAUUGGGAUCGGGAAUUGCAAUUAUUUCCCUUGAACGAGGAAUUCCCAGUAAGUGUGGGUCAUAAGCUCGCGUUGAUUACGUCCCUGCCCUUUGUACACACCGCCCGUCGCUGCCCGGGACUGAGCCGUUUCGAGAAAAGCGGGGACUGCUGCUGUCGGGGCUUUCGGGCCUUGGCUUCGGUGGAAACCGCUUUAAUCGCAGUGGCUUGAACCGGGCAAAAGUCGUANCA
rnacentral:rRNA from 1 species